rnacentral:misc_RNA from 1 species
GGAAGGAUCAUUACCGAGAAGCAAUUCUCGCAAGAACGGCGUCGGCUCUGAGCCUUCGUCGAUUCACAAACUGGGUUCGAUGGUGGAUUCUGUGCGGGCAGCGCUCUGCGCGGUCCGUCGCCAUACGAGCUGACAGAGACUGGCCGGCCGUGCUGUCGCUGCGGCUGUAGUCGGAGACAGUGGGCCUGCGACGAGCCGUUUGUGCAGUCGCUCGGCAGCGCACAGUUUUCUGGCUGGUCUCUCGGAACCAUGGACUGAACGUUGGGUACUUGCUCUGAGACGCCUGGUGGCUCUGUCCAGGCUGCUCGCUUCGGCGUCUCAGGAGAACCGAUGACUCGGCUGCGCGUUCAGUCGCAUCGGGAAGUUUAAAGAAGACGGGUGAUGUCGAUCAUCGUCAUAUGAUCGAGGCUCACUUGCGUGCCGUGUCUUGCGCGCCACCGGUCUCGCCCGACAAAAUUCACUACAACUCUGAUAAAUCGGAAAGCGAACGCUUGUCGUUCGAGAAAAAGCAUACUAUUCUGAGAGGUGGAUCACUCGGCUCGUGGAUCGAUGAAGAACGCAGCCAGCUGCGUGAACUAAUGUGAAUUGCAGACACAUUGAACAUCGAUAUUUCGAACGCACAUUGCGGCAUUGGCCACUACCAAUGCCACGCCUGUCUGAGGGUCGCAUUUGUGACAGCAUAUGGCUAUCGACAUGGAUAGCCGCAUUGGACAGCUGACGUCGCCUGCUUAUGGCGAUGUCACCAGUCCCGAGAAACGCUCCGUGUGCCAUGGUAGAAUUUGGCUCGAAUCGAACAGUCAGUGGGAGAUGGGUGCGAUUUGGCCGUCGACACUGGUGUGUUCACUCUUGUUGGCUUUUGACAUAGAGUGGCGCCGGUGAACAUCGACGGCGGUGAAUGCCCGUCGCUCGCUGGCCUGAAGAUAUAUCAUUUCUCGACCUCAGAUCAGACGUGAUUACCCGCUGAAUUUAAGCAUAUUAUUAAGCGGAGGAAAAGAAACUAACCAGGAUUCCCCUAGUAACGGCGAGUGAACGGGGAAGAGCCCAGCGCCGAAUCUCACAGUCACAAGCUGCUGAGAACUGUGGCGUUUAGGUCAUCAUUUCUGGCUCGAUCGAAUGCUCUCCGAGUCCCCUUGAACGGGGCCACAGUCCAUAGAGGGUGCAAGGCCCAUAGGAGAGCGGGUCGAGUCAUUAGUUGAUAGGCCUGCGAGUCGGAUUGCUUGAGAGUGCAGUCCAAAUGCGUGGUAAACUCCAUGCAAGGCUAAAUACGGCCACGAGACCGAUAGCGAACAAGUACCGUGAGGGAAAGUUGAAAAGAACUUUGGAGAGAGAGUUAAAAGGACGUGAAACCUCUUGGAAGGAAACGGGUGGAGCUGCAAUGCAGCCUGCGGGAUUCAGUCUGCGCUGGUCGGUUAUCGGUAGCGGUUGAUCGCAAGACGGCCGCUGUCGGGUUUAUACACUGGCUGGCGUGGAUGCAUUUCUCGUAGGCGAGCGCUACGACCGAUUGCUAGGCGCCAACAAAAACCCGGCUGAUUGAGGGCCGCUUCGGCGGUAUCCCGUCAGUCGGUGUGCUUUGGGUUGCGGCGAUCGAGUACGGACCGCGUCGGCUUGUCGCUCGGCGUCGGGUGGUACAGGCUGGAUUUCAACUGCUGACUUCUGCUUGCAGGGGUCGGCGACCGUCAGCCGGUAAUGCUCGGCGUCGUAGCAUCGACGCACAUGGUCGGUGGCGUCAGUGUCAGCUACCCACCCGACCCGUCUUGAAACACGGACCAAGGAGUCUAACAUGUGCGCAAGUCAUUGGGCGGCAAACCCAGAGGCGCAAUGAAAGUGAAACGUUGGUGGGAUGCGAGGCGUCAUAGCAGCGCCGCACCACCGGCUCGUCUGAUCGGCACGUCCGGUAGGCGAAGCAAGAGCGUACACGUUGGGACCCGAAAGAUGGUGAACUAUGCCUGAGCAGGAUGAAGCCAGAGGAAACUCUGGUGGAGGUCCGUAGCGGUUCUGACGUGCAAAUCGAUCGUCAGACUUGGGUAUAGGGGCGAAAGACUAAUCGAACCAUCUAGUAGCUGGUUCCCUC